rnacentral:snRNA from 1 species
AUCGUUUCUCGGCCUUUUGGCUAAGAUCAAGUGUAGUAUCUGUUCUUAUCAGAAAGGCCUUCUCUAAAUCUCCAAGACAAUUCUUCCUUGUUAUAUUCCUUCAUAGUACCAUGAACCUCC